GUUGCGUUUUAUUGGUUAUUUAUUAUGAUUUAUAUUGUGCAAGAGUAUAUAAAAGGAAAAAAACAUGCCAAUUCCCCAAACUGCACCUAACACCACCACUGGCUUCACGAUGAAAAUCUUUCUGGUGUGCCUCCUCGCGGGGCUGGCUUGCGUUGCCGCCUCACCCCAAUCCUCCGCCGGCGCGUCGACAUCUCCCGUAUCAGCUGUAGCUAACGCUUCCGGAUCACCAGGACAAUCGUCAGCCGCUGGAGCAGUAGCCCAGAAUGCAGCUCAAGGCAGUACAGCAGCAGCGGGAGCGGCAACGGGACAAACUGCUAACGUCGUAGCUCAGGUCUCGGGUGGAACAGGACAGGUUUCUGCGGUUGGAUCCAGCAGACCACCUCUGAUUGCUCCCCCAUCUAUUCCCCCCCCUAUCUAUAUUCCAGGCUAAUUAAUUAUUAAUUAGUAUUUACAAAGCACACCUGUUUAGAAGCAAAAUUUAACACUGUUGGAUUGAAAUUGUAAUUUGAUGU